rnacentral:lncRNA from 1 species
UCUGUCUCUACCUAGCCGGGCGUGGUAGCGGGAGCCUGUAGUCCCAGCUACUUGGGAGGCUGAAGCAGGAGAAUGGCGUGAACCCAGGAGGCGGAGCUUGCAGUGAGCCGAGAUUGCACCACUACACUACAACCUGGGCGACAGAGCGAGACUCCGUCUCAAAAAAAAUAAAAAUUAAAAAUUAAAAAAAUAAAAUAAAGUAAUCAUGCAUUGGAAACAACAAACAACGAAAUAGACAUGGCCAAAUAAUUAGUUAAUUUAAUCAAAAACAUAUUGCACAGAAAAAAAUGAUAAAGCUCAAUGGCUAUACACAUAGGUGGGAAACAAACAAAGGGUUACCCACAAAUAUAUGUAGCCAAGCACCCUUUAUAACAUAUAGGCAAUAGCUAGACCCAUUAUAAUAAAUCAUUCAAGUUGAACAGUUUUGCACUUCUUAAAAUAAAGCAAGCAUCUGACCUUUUGGCUAUCAAAUGAUUUUAUAUUUAGUAACUUUAAUUAAGGAAAUUAAAUUCAUUUAAGCAAAAUUUUGAAGGAAAAUUGUUCAACUGAAUGAUAUUCAAAUCUUACUAAUAUCCAGCCUGGGGAUCACUGAGAUUCAAUAUCCAAAAGAUACAUUAGCCUAUCUCCUUCCAGUUCAAUGUCAUUACAUACAGAGAGAAAAAAUUACAUGAAAAAUAAAGAGAUUUUUAAAAAGUUCUCUGUAAACUCCAAUAACUAAUUUUGACCAAGUAGAUAACUUGAAGCUUCAAGAUAGUGGACCAUGAAAACACAGGGCGUUAGCAGACUAGAGAGUGAGCAAACACCAAACUGGAGUGAAACACACAGAUUUAAAAAUAUAUAAUUAAUUCAGACCAAAAAAAAAAAAAGCCUGAAUGGU